UUUGCACGAAAAUGUGACUGACCUUUUAUAGUAUACACCCUGUAUUUUGAAGUCAUUUUGUAUACUGUUUGAUGCUACACUAGUUACACGGGCAAUGUUGCUGAAACUGUCUCACUUGAGGUCUACGACAUGUACGUCUUUUUGCUUCCAAAGGUGCAAGCUCGCAUUAGCCUGAGUCUGGGCACACAGAUGGACGACAGGAACACACGACUCGCUUUCUUCUUGCAUUGUUUCACGGAUGCCAAUUAGUCACGUAGCGACCACCUCAUCACAGUGUCAGCCACGUUGUGACAUAUCCAGCUCACCAAAAAUAAUGGCUACAGUGAUAUAUGGCAGAAGAUACUGCAGCUGUGGUUGUGCCAAAGAAGGGGCCAUUCAGAUCAGGAUCUGCUACUGGAAACCUGUCGGAAACUGCAGGAGCAGCGUGCAGUGCUACACACAGAAAAUAUGAGGAAAGCUGUGGUAGACCUCUGCUCACAAUCUCAUGAAGAAAAGCUCAAGCUCAUGAAACUUCAACUGCAGUACUGGACAUCAUCAAGAGUUAUAAAGGACUGAACCCGGCUUCCAGUAAAUUCAUACUGUGCGUUCAUCUCCGUAAGGUCCACAGGCUCUUCCAGAUGCUGCAACAUAGGCUCAGGACAAGUCUCUGCCUCUGAACGAGAGGUAGAACUUCUAGAAGGGCCUACAGGAACCUCAUGGCAGUGGAGAAAACUCCAUGGAAAUGUGGCCAGUGAUGGUAAUAUGAUGACUGGACGGACAAGGUGAGAAGUUUCCGGAUGUUUACGCAACCAGCUAUCAACGACACAGCCGUGACUGAGAGACUGGCUGAAGGCAGCCUGAAAAAAACUGAUGAACUGGAAGAAACUUCUAAAUCAAGAAGGAACUCGGGAAUUCAUCUCUUCUCUGGGUUCUACCGUUCACAUUUUGUGGAGAGUUAAUUCUUACUAGCACAUUGGAGAGAUUGAGAACAGUGAACUCACAUAGGUUGCCAUCGGGUACUUGAGGAUGUACCUCAACAAGGCAAAUUUCUUUUCUUUCCUCUAUGCUGACCUUCAACUGCCUUAGCAGAGCAAUGGUCUGCUCAUACUGUCUCAUUGGCAGUUCUGCCAGACGUGUCGCAAUUUCUUGCAGGAUUAUUGUGGCCUGUCUAUGCUUCUGACACUCCAACAGAACUCGCUUUGCUGUUGCAUGUGGAAAUAUGCUCGUGUGUCCUGGUGUGGCUGACUGUGAAAUAAACAGCUGACACAAGUCAAGAUAGAAGUUGCUUGUCCAGCGUACUGCCAUGCAUUUUUCAAAAAACAUAGGUAUCCCCAACUCCAUGCAGCAGAGGAAUAUAUGUCUGCAAGGAAGCUUCAUUGCUUUCACUAGGUUACGUGUGCAGCUUUCUUCUGUAACCUCCAGCUGAGAACAUUCAUCUAGUGUGUUCAUUGUAGAAGCUCUCUUCAGUUCCUUGGACAUAAUGGAAAAAGUGUAAGGUUUCAGACCCUUGCAAUAAGCCUCCUCACAGCUUGACAUGUGCAUGACAGCUGGGGCCUUUAGCAGAGCCUCCAUUGCUCGCUGGUCACGUUCCUGUCGCAAGCUACGAACUACAACGAGCAGGUCCAUGUCCAUCUCGUGAAGAGGUGUAUUUCGCUUGACGACUUGCAUAAUUUUUUGGUUUGUGGCCUCCACGAGGUUGUUUGUCCUGUUUCCAAAGGUUGACGGCUGAUGUUUCAGGCCUUCAACCCAUUCCCUGCAUAUAGGAUGCCAGUUUUUGUCAAAAUAUGGUGUCGCCUUUGCACACUUCAUGUUUUGCAGUUCCAUAUGUACAAUUUGUCAUAUUCCUCUCCAGUAUUUGCAUAGCAAAUUUUUUGUAGGACCUGCAGAAUGUGAAGCCUCAUCUCUAUGGUGAUUCCCAUUUUUUCCGUUGUCACCUCCCUCUUGAAUGUCCGCAGUACAUGAAAGGGGCAAAUCACAUGUUCUGCACAUAGAAACACAUUCUUCAGGACUUUUCUCUCAAUGAAGUCUUUGUCUGUCUUAAUGGCUUUUGUUCCUGCAGUUGACCCGCAGUGAAAAGAGAACCUCUGGAACAAGGAAAGAAGUCUUCUCAUCCUCACUGGCACACAGGAUUAAUGACACAAUUUCACUUUCUCCAUUUGAGUCCUCUAUGAGGACAACAUAUAGGAGCAUCCUAUUGUUCGUUUUAUGGAUUGCAUCCACAAAUAGAACUUCUGGAUAGCUUUGGUAUGCUCUUCUCAUGUCAGUGUCCUGAUAGAAGAGGCCUACAAGUGUGUCCUCCUCACUGACUAGUACGUCCAUUGCACCACCAGUCCUCUCCACUUCGGCGGCAAUGCUGUCAUGUGCAGACCCUUUCAUUGCUUCAGCUUUCAUUGAAGUUGAGAUGUUGUGCAGGUCUCGCACGAGUACUAUCUUCCCGGUGUUGGUGAAGCGAUAGUGAAUGCGCUUCUUGCUGGCCUUAACUGAAAGGAAUCUUUUCGCUUCCUUUAGCUCCUUUUCGUUCACCCUUUGCUGUCGAGGCAGCUGGUGGUAGCAUCUCUUCAAAAGAUAUAUGACAGUUAAGAAACUCUACAGGCACGGAAGGUGAACAGAGAUGCUGUACAGAGCGCUGUAUGCAGUGGCGUAAUAAAGGAAGUGAAGUUUCA